rnacentral:rRNA from 1 species
GGAGUCUGGGCCGUGUCUCAGUCCCAAUGUGGCCGUUCAACCUCUCAGUCCGGCUACCGAUCGCGGUCUUGGUGAGCCGUUACCUCACCAACUAACUAAUCGGACGCGAGUCCAUCUCUGAGCGAUAAAAUCUUUGACAUAUCUUCCAUGCGAAAAAUAUGUGUUAUGCGGUAUUAGCGUUCUUUUCAGAACGUUAUUCCCCUCUCAGAGGCAGGUUACUCACGCGUUACUCACCCGUCCGCCACUAAACUGAAAAUCUUUCAUCCGAAGAAUCAAUCAAAACAGUUCCGUUCGACUUGCAUGUGUUAGGCACGCCGCCAGCGUCGUCCUCGAGCCAUGAUCAAACUCU